CGUGCCAGCAGCCGCGGUAAGACGAACCGUCCAAACGUUAUUCGGAAUUACUGGGCUUAAAGGGUGCGUAGGCGGUGCUGUAAGUUGGGUGUGAAAUCCCUCGGCUCAACCGAGGAAUUGCGCCCAAUACUGCAGUACUAGAGGGAGACAGAGGUGAGCGGAACUUGUGGUGGAGCGGUGAAAUGCGUUGAUAUCACAAGGAACACCUGUGGCGAAAGCGGCUCACUGGGUCUUUUCUGACGCUGAGGCACGAAAGCUGGGGGAGCGAACGGGAUUAGAUACCCCGGUAGUCCCAGCUGUAAACGUUGAGCACUAGACCGGAGGACCCCCCAUAGUUUUCCGGUCGUAGCGAAAGUGUUAAGUGCUCCGUCUGGGGAGUAUAGUCGCAAGGCUGAAACUCAAAGGAAUUGACGGGGGCUCACACAAGCGGUGGAGGAUGUGGCUUAAUUCGAGGCUACGCGUAGAACCUUAUCCUAGAUUUGGCAUGCACGGAUGGGCCGCCUGAAAGGGAUGGUUCCUGCCUUCGGGUGAAACGUGCACAGGUGCUGCAUGGCUGUCGUCAGCUCGUGUCGUGAGAUGUCGGGUUAAGUCCCUUAACGAGCGAAACCCUUGUCACUAGUUGCCAGCGAGUCAUGUCGGGGACUCUAGUGAGACUGCCGGUGUUAAACCGGAGGAAGGUGGGGAUGACGUCAAGUCCUCAUGGCCUUUAUGUCUAGGGCUGCACACGUCCUACAAUGGCGCAUACAAAGGGAAGCGAACCUGCGAGGGCAAGCAAAUCCCAAAAAGUGCGCCUCAGUUCGGAUUGCAGGCUGCAACUCGCCUGCAUGAAGCCGGAAUCGCU
rnacentral:rRNA from 1 species